UAGAAGGGAGAGUUUGGAAAGGACGAACAUGGCUAUAAAAGUUGUACCGUGCAAUUCCAUGAAGCACACAAAUAAGGACAUCUUGUAAUUUCAAGGCAUAAAUUGCUUUUUCUUUCAUGAAGCCACGUGUUGUUACUUGGUGCAGCUUUCUUCCCAAUAUUUAACUCAUUCCCACCUUCUCCAAUUCAUUCCAACCUAUUCUUUAUGAAGUUGUCGAAUGAAGUCCUUGAAAUGGAAAGAGCAAAUAUAGUUCAGGACUAAAGGCAUAUAUGAGAGCAUGUCAAUUUAUCUUAUCUUGGUGGUUUUGGUUCUAUUGCUCAAGAUGUGGGCCACUUUGUAGUCAAUUAUCGUCUUGCACAAAACACGUAAGGUUCUUCCUAAUUACUUGCUAAGCUUCUACCAACUCUUCUGCAAAUAUUUCAACGAAAGAUAAUGUACUUUCAAGUCAAACAGUUAUAGAAGCCGUGGCUACAGUAUGCACCAUUGGUUGCGUUUGUGUUUCAUCAUUCUCAUCCUCCUCAUCUUCUAUUUUCCAGAGGAAAUUAGCAUAAGCAACAUGUAUGUGACUGUUAACACAUCAAACAAUAUAAAACAGUAAGUUUUGUAAAGUAGAUAACAUGUUCAUGAA